AGAACGAACGCUGGCGGCAGGCUUAACACAUGCAAGUCGAACGCGUGUAGCAAUACACGAGUGGCGCACGGGUGAGUAACGCGUGGAUAUCUGCCUUUUGGUUCGGAAUAACCCCGGGAAACUGGGGCUAAUACCGGAUGGUUCCUACUGGAUAAAGAUUUAUCGCCAAAAGAUGAGUCCGCGUCCGAUUAGCUAGUUGGUGGGGUAAUGGCCUACCAAGGCGACGAUCGGUAGCUGGUCUGAGAGGACGAUCAGCCACACUGGGACUGAGACACGGCCCAGACUCCUACGGGAGGCAGCAGUGGGGAAUAUUGGACAAUGGGGGCAACCCUGAUCCAGCCAUGCCGCGUGAGUGAUGAAGGCCUUCGGGUUGUAAAGCUCUUUUGGCGGGACGAUGAUGACGGUACCCGCAGAUAAGCCCGGCUAACUUCGCGCCAGCAGCCGC
rnacentral:rRNA from 1 species